AUACGUAGGGGGCGAGCGUUAUCCGGAUUUAUUGGGUUUAAAGGGUGCGUAGGCGGAAAGUUAAGUCAGCGGUGAAACGCAGGUGCUCAACACCUGACCUGCCGUUGAGACUGGUUUUCUGGAAUGCGGAUGCUGUGGGAGGAAUGUGUGGUGUAGCGGUGAAAUGCAUAGAUAUCACACAGAACACCGAUUGCGAAGGCAUCUCACAAAUCCGCUAUUGACGCUGAGGCACGAAGGUGCGGGGAUCGAACAGGAUUAGAUACCCUGGUAGUCCGCACAGUAAACGAUGAUGACUCGCUGUCGGCGAUAGACAGUCGGUGGCCAAGCGAAAGCGAUAAGUCAUCCACCUGGGGAGUACGACCGCAAGGUUGAAACUCAAAUGAAUUGACGGGG
rnacentral:rRNA from 1 species